rnacentral:rRNA from 1 species
UGGGGAAUAUUGCGCAAUGGGGGGAACCCUGACGCAGCCAUGCCGCGUGAAUGAAGAAGGCCUUCGGGUUGUAAAGUUCUUUCGGUAUUGAGGAAGGUUGAUGUGUUAAUAGCACAUCAAAUCGACGUUAAAUACAGAAGAAGCACCGGCUAACUCCGUGCCAGCAGCCGCGGUAAUACGGAGGGUGCGAGCGUUAAUCGGAAUAACUGGGCGUAAAGGGCACGCAGGCGGUUAUUUAAGUGAGGUGUGAAAGCCCCGGGCUUAACCUGGGAAUUGCAUUUCAGACUGGGUAACUAGAGUACUUUAGGGAGGGGUAGAAUUCCACGUGUAGCGGUGAAAUGCGUAGAGAUGUGGAGGAAUACCGAAGGCGAAGGCAGCCCCUUGGGAAUGUACUGACGCUCAUGUGCGAAAGCGUGGGGAGCAAACAGGAUUAGAUACCCUGGUAGUCCACGCUGUAAACGCUGUCGAUUUGGGGGUUGGGGUUUAACUCUGGCGCCCGUAGCUAACGUGAUAAAUCGACCGCCUGGGGAGUACGGCCGCAAGGUUA